GGGGGUAAGCAGGUUCUUUCACUGUGUUCGUUUCGCUCGCGAUCGUUUCAGUACGAUGUACUAGAGAAUACCCGGUGGAAGGAGGAGGAAAAGGAGAAGUAGAAUAGGCAUGAAGGUUUCCGUUUAAGAGUGUAAAGGACAGAAUCGAUGACAGUCGUGGAGGCAGGAUAAAACGAAGAAGGGGAAGUAUCCGCGCGCAUUUAUACGCGCCGACGCGCGCGCACCGAUAACGCUGCGAGCGCCCGUUAAACUUUAUUGCGUUCAAUUUAAAAAUAGAAUUCUAUCUAGAAGGAAGAGAAACGUUUGCGCGCAUAAAGAAUGUCUCGCUAAAGAUAUGCCGGCCAACGGAAGCUUGUACUUGUCUAAUUUGUAUCGAAUUCACCAAAUUAUUUUGGAAAAUUUUUAUUUUUGAUUAUUAUGUAUGAUAAUAUAUAAAAUGGUUCGAUAAAUUAAAUAGAAAAUUUAUUAGAAAUAAUUUUAAAAAUUAAAAAUACAAAGUUUAUAUAUAAAAAAAUGUUUAUUAAAUUAUUUAUGAAUAAUUAAAUAAAAUUAAAUUUGUCAUAAUUUGCAAAAUUAAAUUAUUUAUAACUUGAAAAAUAAACUUCAGCAGAUAUUUUUGUA